rnacentral:rRNA from 1 species
GGGCACUCUAAGUUGACUGCCGGUGACAAACCGGAGGAAGGUGGGGAUGACGUCAAAUCAUCAUGCCCCUUAUGAUUUGGGCUACACACGUGCUACAAUGGACAAUACAAAGGGCAGCGAAACCGCGAGGUCAAGCAAAUCCCAUAAAGUUGUUCUCAGUUCGGAUUGUAGUCUGCAACUCGACUACAUGAAGCUGGAAUCGCUAGUAAUCGUAGAUCAGCAUGCUACGGUGAAUACGUUCCCGGGUCUUGUACACACCGCCCGUCACACCACGAGAGUUUGUAACACCCGAAGCCGGUGGAGUAACCUUUUAGGAGCUAGCCGUCGAAGGUGGGACAAAUGAUUGGGGUGAAGUCGUAACAAGGUAGCCGUAUCGGAAGGUGCGGCUGGAUCACCUCCUUUCUAAGGA